GCUCUCCCUGCCCCCUGCCCUGGUGCUGAGAUCCUCAGGCCCCAAGAGGGAGGUGGGUCACCAGCGGCCACAAAAAGUCAUGGCAGGAGGCUGAUCCUGAAGCAUGGCCAGUAAGUCCGAGUCCAGGUGUGGCAGGGGCUUUGUGACACUCUUUUUUUCUGUUUGUCCUGGAUACUGGACACUGCCUGGAGGAAUGAGACCUGGGAGCAGGAAGCAAAGGAUGAGCUCCGAGAGAGGGAAGAGAGCUGCCUCCAGACACAGCGGCCCUCUAUGUUCUUCAGGCGUCAGCAAUGGAAGAUCUCAGAUGACUUGUUUUCCAGAUGAAAACAUCUGUACAACACCUGCAGGACACUGGAGACCAGCAGCUGCUAGGACAGAGGCUUCUUAGGACUGACUUGCCUGAAGGACCAACACUGCCCAGCAUCCGCCCCGUGUGUUUGGAAAGGAGCUAGUGGGACUCUGUCGCCACCUGCUAGCUCAGAGUGGAACUGCAACCCAGCUGUCUAAGGCACUGCAAACUGUUCCCAGUAAAGAACAGUUGGGGUGAGGGGAGCUGUGGAAAAUUCUGUAGAAAUAAACGUUUUUAUUCCUAACACAGUA